rnacentral:rRNA from 1 species
GAUGAACGCUGGCGGCGUGCCUAAUACAUGCAAGUCGAGCGAACAGACGAGGAGCUUGCCCCUCUGACAUUAGCGGCGGGCGGGUGAGUAACACGUGGAUAACCUCCCUAUAAGACUGGGAUACCUUCGGGGAACCGGAGCUAAUACCGGAUAAUAUAUCCAACCGCAUGGUCCAAUCGUGAAAGACGGUUUUGUUGUCUCUUAUACAUGCAUCCGCGCCGCAGUAGCAAGUUGAUAAGCUAACGGCUUACCAAGCCGCCGAUGGGUGGCGGACCUGAGAGGGGGAUGGGCCACACUGGAACUAGGACACGGUCCAGACUCUUAGGGGAGGCGGAGGUGGGGAAUUUUCCGAAAUGGCGGAAAGCCUAACGGAGCAACGCCGGGUGGGUGAGGAAGGUCUUCGGUUCGUAAAACUCUGUUAUUAGGGAAGAACGUAUGUGUAAGUAACGAUGCACGUCUUGACGGUACCUAAACAGAAAGCCACGGCUAACUACGUG